rnacentral:rRNA from 1 species
CCUACGGGUGGCAGCAGUGAGGAAUAUUGGUCAAUGGGCGUAAGCCUGAACCAGCCAAGUAGCGUGCAGGAUGACGGCUCUACGGGUUGUAAACUGCUUUUAUACGGGAAUAACGCGUCUUACGUGUAGUGUUUUGCAUGUACCUUAUGAAUAAGGACCGGCUAAUUCCGUGCCAGCAGCCGCGGUAAUACGGAGGGUCCGAGCGUUAUCCGGAUUUAUUGGGUUUAAAGGGAGCGUAGGCCGCAUGUCAAGUGAGCGGUGAAAUGUCCUGGCUCAACCCGGGCCUUGCAGCGCGAACUGGCGUGCUUGAGUCCGCUGAAGGCAGGCGGAAUUCGUCGUGUAGCGGUGAAAUGCUUAGAUAUGACGAAGAACCCCGAUUGCGAAGGCAGCUUGCUGCAGCGGAACUGACGCUGAUGCUCGAAAGCGCGGGUAUCGAACAGGAUUAGAUACCCUAGUAGUC